rnacentral:rRNA from 1 species
GGUUGAUCCUGCCAGUAGUCAUACGCUCGUCUCAAAGAUUAAGCCAUGCAUGUGUAAGUAUAAAUAAUUCUACUUUGAAACUGCGAAUGGCUCAUUAUAUCAGUUAUAGUUUAUUAGAAAAAAUGUACUACUUGGAUAACCGUAGUAAUUCUAGGGCUAAUACAUGAAUGAAUCCUCGACUUUGAAGAGGUGUGUUUAUUAGUAUGAAAACCAUAUGCUUCGGCAUGAUAGUGAGUAAUAAUAACCUUUCGUAUCGUAUGUUGAAAUAACGAUAGUUCUUUCAAGUUUCUGC